CAGUCGCCACGGGAAUACGAGGGGGGCAAGCGUUGUUCGGAAUUAUUGGGCGUAAAGGGUGCGUAGGCGGCUUGACAAGUCUUGUGUGAAAUCUAUGGGCUCAACCCAUAGUCUGCACGGGAAACUGUCGGGCUUGAGAAUGGGAGAGGUGAGUGGAAUUUCUGGUGUAGCGGUGAAAUGCGUAGAUAUCGGAAGGAACACCUGUGGCGAAAGCGGCUCACUGGACCAUAACUGACGCUGAGGCACGAAAGCUAGGGGAGCAAACAGGAUUAGAUACCCCAGUAGUCCCUGUCUCUUAUAA
rnacentral:rRNA from 1 species